UACGGAGGGUGCAAGCGUUAUCCGGAUUCACUGGGUUUAAAGGGUGCGUAGGCGGAUAAGUAAGUCAGUGGUGAAAUCUCCGAGCUUAACUCGGAAACUGCCGUUGAUACUAUUUGUCUUGAAUAUUGUGGAGGUAAGCGGAAUAUGUCAUGUAGCGGUGAAAUGCUUAGAUAUGACAUAGAACACCAAUUGCGAAGGCAGCUUACUACACAAUGAUUGACGCUGAGGCACGAAAGCGUGGGGAUCAAACAGG
rnacentral:rRNA from 1 species